rnacentral:tRNA from 1 species
GGCUGGGUAGCUCAGUUGGUCUAGAGCAGGCGACUCAUAACCGCCAGGUUCGUGGGUUCGAAUCCCACCCCAGCCA